GAUGAACGCUGGCGGCGUGCCUAAUACAUGCAAGUCGAGCGAACGGACGAGAAGCUUGCUUCUCUGAUGUUAGCGGCGGACGGGUGAGUAACACGUGGAUAACCUACCUAUAAGACUGGGAUAACUUCGGGAAACCGGAUCUAAUACCGGAUGAUAUUUUGAACCGCAUUGUUCAAAAGUGAAAGACGGUCUUUCUGUCACUUAUAGAUGGAUCCGCGCUGCAUUAGCUAGUUGGUAAGGUAACGGCUUACCAAGGCAACGAUGCAUAGACGACCUGAGCGGGUGGUCGCACACCCGGGAACUGAGAAAGGGUCAAGACUCCUACGGUAGGAAGCAGCAGGGAAUCUUCCGCAAUGGGGGAAAGCCUGACGGAGCAACGCCGCGUGAGUGAUGAAGGUCCUCGGCUCGUAAAACUCUGUUAUUAGGGAAGAACAUAUGUGUAAGUAACUGUGAACAUAUUGACGGUACCUAAUCAGAAAGCCACGGCUAACUACGUG
rnacentral:rRNA from 1 species